UGUGUAGGCGGUUCUUUAAGUUUGGUGUGAAAUCUCCCGGCUCAACUGGGAGGGAGCGCCGAAUACUGAGGGACUAGAGUACGGGAGAGGAAAGUGGAAUUCCUGGUGUAGCGGUGAAAUGCGUAGAUAUCAGGAGGAACACCGGUGGUGUAGACGGCUUUCUGGACCGACACUGACGCUGAGACACGAAAGCGUGGGUAGCAAACAGGAUUAGAUACCCUGGUAGUCCACGCCCUAAACGAUGCAUAUUUGGUGUGGGCAGUUCAUUCUGUCCGUGCCGGAGCUAACGCGUUAAAUAUGCCGCCUGGGGAGUACAGUCGCAAGGCUAGAA
rnacentral:rRNA from 1 species